rnacentral:rRNA from 1 species
UACGAAGGGGGCUAGCGUUGCUCGGAAUUACUGGGCGUAAAGCGCACGUAGGCGGCUUUCUAAGUCGGGGGUGAAAUCCUGGAGCUCAACUCCAGAACUGCCUUCGAUACUGGGAGUCUCGAGUCCGGGAGAGGUGAGUGGAACUGCGAGUGUAGAGGUGAAAUUCGUAGAUAUUCGCAAGAACACCAGUGGCGAAGGCGGCUCACUGGCCCGGUACUGACGCUGAGGUGCGAAAGCGUGGG